rnacentral:Y_RNA from 1 species
GGCAGGUCUGAGUGCAGUGGUGUUUACAACUAAUUGAUCACAACCAGUUAUAGAUUUCUUUGUUCCUUUACUCUCAUUACUUCACUUGACUAGCAUUUA